UGAGGAAUAUUGGUCAAUGGGCGGGAGCCUGAACCAGCCAAGCCGCGUGAGGGAAGAAGGCGCUCAGCGUCGUAAACCUCUUAGCCGGGGAACAAAGACUUGCUCGGGAAGCAGCGUUGAGCGUACCCGGAGAAUAAGCAUCGGCUAACUCCGUGCCAGCAGCCGCGGUAAUACGGAGGAUGCGAGCGUUAUCCGGAUUUAUUGGGUUUAAAGGGUGCGCAGGCGGACGCGCAAGUCUGCGGUCAAAUUCCGGGGCUCAACCCCGGACCGCCGUGGAAACUGUGCGACUAGAGUGGGCGAGAGGCAUGCGGAAUGCGCGGUGUAGCGGUGAAAUGCUUAGAGAUCGCGCAGAACUCCGAUUGCGAAGGCAGCAUGCCGGCGCCUUACUGACGCUCAUGCACGAAAGCGUGGGGAUCGAACAGGAUUAGAUACC
rnacentral:rRNA from 1 species